rnacentral:rRNA from 1 species
UUAGUAGUAAGUACUAAACUAAUUUUUAAUAACACAUUACUAGAGUAAAAGAGAGGAUUGUAGAAUUUCAAGUGGAGAAAUAAAAUUCGUAGAUUUUUGAAGGAAUAUCGAAAGCGAAGGCAACAAUCUGGCUUUAUACUGACGCUGAUUCACGAAAGCCUAGGUAGCAACCAGGAUUAGAGACCCUGUUAGUCUAGGCCGUAAACGAUGAGCACUCAUUUUUGGGUUAUUAAUAUUCAGAAAUUUAGCUAACGCGUUAAGUGCUCCACCUGAGAAGUACAGUGGCAACACUGAAACUCAAAGGAAUUGACGGGGAUUCAUACAAUUCGUGGAACAUGUGGUUUAAUUCGUAAAUACACGCAAAACCUUACCAACUUUUGAAUAAUUUUAUAUUCUAAUGAAGAAAUUCGUUAUGUUAAAAAUUACAGGUGCUGCAUGGCUGUCGUCAGCUCGUGUCUUGAGAUGUUAGGUUAAGUCCAGUAACGAGCGAAACCCUUCUUCUUUGUUGCAAAAAAUAUUUUAUUGUAUCGUAUUGAUUAAAUUGUAUUUAUGUACUUAAAGAGUAUUGCCUAUGAUAUAUAGGAUGAAAGAAAGGAUGACGUCAAGUCUUCAUGGCCCUUAUGGGUUGGGCUACACAUGUGUUACAACGAUAACAACAAUAAGCUGCAUUAAUGAAAAUUGAAGCAAAUCUAUAAAAGUUAUCUCAGUUCGGAUUGUUUUCUGCAACUCGAAAACAUGAAGUCGGAAUGAAUAGUAAUCGUUUAUCAGCAAGGAACGGUGAAUUUGUACCUGAAUCUUGUACAUACCGCCCGUCACAUCAAGAGAGUUUGCUUAAUUUAAAGAUAUUGUUUGUAUUUACAUUUUUUAGUUUGAAAGUAUUUUUUUAAUAUUUAUAUUAUAAAAUUUAAAAGUGAGUAAUAUUUAGGAUUAGGAAGAUUAUUUUGAUGAAGUCGUAACAAGGUAACGGUAGGGGAACCUGUCGUUG